rnacentral:rRNA from 1 species
UACGUAGGGGCCUAGCGUUGUCCGGAUUUAUUGGGCGUAAAGAGCGUGUAGGCGGCUUUGCAAGUCCGUUGUGAAAACUCGAGGCUCAACCUCGAGACGCCGGUGGAAACUGCAAAGCUAGAGUCCGGAAGAGGAGAGUGGAAUUCCUGGUGUAGCGGUGAAAUGCGCAGAUAUCAGGAAGAACACCCGUGGCGAAGGCGGCUCUCUGGGACGGUACUGACGCUGAGACGCGAAAGCGUGGGGAGCGAACAGG